GAGAGGUCAAAAGGAACUGGACUACCAUCAAACCAGGCUACUCUUUCCGCAGUUGAUGACGUAAGAUGACAAAGGAUGCAUACUUCCUUUGCGACUUCUGUCUGCUCUCUGUGUGAGAUUGAUAAUCAAGUGCUAGAUACUCCAGUGGCAAAAUAGCAUUUUUCCAACCUGGAAGAGCAAUUCAUUCACGCCCGCCUUUCCAUUACAGAGAAAAGUAGCCACACAAUGGAGUGCGGUCAUAGAAAGAGGAAGACUGAGGAAGUUAGCAAAGUUGCUGCAGCUGUGGCAUGUGUUUGGCAAUGAAUACAACUGAGAACUUGUUGGGUACCCCGAGGCGGACAGAGAGCAUUCUGGAGGAAACCCAAAUUCCACAUCAGCAGGAGUCUGGGCAGCCUCAGUGGCCUGAUCCAAGCCACAGGUUCACCAGCUUUAAACACCGCAAAGAUGAAGAAUCCCCACUCCGAGACCCUUCGUUAUUUGGAAAGCCCUGGAUCUCCAGAGAAUCCCCGUAAGGAACAACCGAAGCCAUCAAGACGACGUGGAUCUUUCUUCACGUAGUUGAGUCUGUAGGAUCAAACAAGUGAAAACCUUUUUUGGUUUUGGAUGACCACGGUAUAAUAGAGGAAGAGCUCAUCUGAGUCUGGAGGAUCCCAUCAUCAGCUACAAGUAUAGCUCCUCAAUGCCCGAGAAAGACCAGUUGGAUAUGAAUAUUAAAGGACUAUGACUGAUAAUAACAGAAGACAAAAACGGGCAUUUCUGGCUCCCCACUGAAAUUCACGGUCAAGAGGCAAGUAGUAAAAUACCUAUGUGUGUGCUUGCGCGCGUGUGUGUGAGUGUGUGUGUUUCUAUGAAAAACUUUCUCAAGGCUGACAAAUGUUCAUGCAAAACCUAUGGCACCGGCAGGGCUUGGCGUCUUUCCAACCUCCGCACCUGCACAAUUACAGCCAAGCUUCCUGAACAUUUCUUCCCUAACAGCUUGUUUUGGAUUGCGUGCAGGAGUGUGUGGACCUCUGUGUGUGUGUGUGUGUGUGUGUGUGUAUGUUGGUGGGCGAGAAUGAGUGAUCGUGGGUGAGUGGGUGAGUUGGGGGCGGGGGUAGCAUUUAAGGCAUCAUUUUUUUGAACGCUGCCUCGGUGAGUUUAUUGGAGCAAGUGGCCUACUCCCGGGGAGACCGGUGCACUCCAAAGCAGGAGAAGCCCGUUCCAGCCUGGAUGCAGCUGAAGAUGAGCAGCGGUGGUGGUAACCACUUGGCUCGCCUGAAGGGCAACGCGAGACUGUCGAAGGAGAGGAGUGUGAACAGCUGCUGUCCACUGGGGCCCCAGCGGCGGCUCCCACCGCACCACGGACCCCUCCAGGGCCAUCAAUCUCUGAGCGAGACCGGCCAGAAGCUGACGACGUCUGUUGCCUUCCCUUUCCCGCUCCCCUCUGCCUCUCCCACUUAGAAAUGGAACUCUACAAUGCUGCACAGGUGGACGUGUCAUCUGCAGGAAUGUCGGGGACCUGUCGGUGACCAAUGUGAGAGACGAAGUCUUGUGUUUCUUUGGGAGUGCCGCUCAUUUCGCGAGACAAAAAAAGA